rnacentral:rRNA from 1 species
GACGGAGGAUGCAAGCGUUAUCCGGAAUGAUUGGGCGUAAAGCGUCCGCAGGUGGCAGUUCAAGUCUGCUGUCAAAGACCGGGGCUUAACUUCGGAAAGGCAGUGGAAACUGAACAGCUAGAGUAUGGUAGGGGCAGAGGGAAUUCCUGGUGUAGCGGUGAAAUGCGUAGAUAUCAGGAAGAACAUCGGUGGCGAAGGCGCUCGGCUGGACCAUAACUGACACUCAGGGACGAAAGCUAGGGGAGCGAAUGGG